GCUCACCACAGCCUCCAUCUCCUGGGCUCAAAUGAUGGCAUCUAGUAGGAUGCUGCCCAGGCUGGCUUCGAACUCCUGAGCUCAAGCGACCCUCUUUCCUUGGCUUCCCAACAUGCUGGGAUUACAGGCAUGAAUCACCACGGCAGACACUAAGUAUUUUUAAGAGUCGAGCAUCUAGACCCUGGGAAAUGUACUGAUAUUGAAUGAUUAUGUCUGAUUUAACUGUCCAGCUAUGAGCUGCAGAGAUCACUCUUUUGUGGGUAGUGUGUGUGUUUUUUCCAUCAGGGAAUGAAUAUUGACAAACUCAGUCACCCCAGAAGGAGCUACUCCUGGAAGAGGAAGGGAGAACUGGAGAGACUGAUAGAAUUCAAGAAACUGAAGGAAACUUUGGAACAGAAUGCUUGCCACGCACACUGCUGUGGUCUGUGCCUGAUUACACACAGGCAGCUGCACCUCGCAAAUGCUGCCGGGAUCACAUCAUCCUGUUAUGAAAUCGGACUUUUAAAGAGCUGGAGUUAAGUGGCAACUUUAGUGGUUGUCAACACAGCCUCAGUCAAGGCCUGAGAGAGUGUAGUUUACUGGGCGAGGUUGCUCUGGGUAGCCUUAAAAGGGCCUGGAAUCGGUGAGUGAAGGAAGGAGGACGAGGGCGGGGAAGGAACCAGGAAGCCAGGAAGCUGCAGCACGAAGUCCCCCAUCUUGCUCUCUUAGUGCUGACCCCAGUGUUUCAGCUUCCAGUCUCCAUUUGCUCCCUGAGCUCCUGCCAUGCUCAUCUCUGUCUGCUCAGGACUCUCUCUUUCAUUUUCUCGAGCUGUGUUCCUAAACCUUGGGGCAGAAGGGAUAGGGAGUCAAUCAAAUCAGGCCAGGAUUAGAAAAUCAGCUACUGAGUUGGAGGGCCACAAGGAGCCACACAGUAAUCACAUUACAAAUGUCCUAUCUCAUCAACUCUGAGAGUGGGCAUGAUUUUUAUCUUCAUUCUGUAGAUAAGUAAAGUCAGGCUGAUAGAGGCUACAUGGAUUACCCAAGGUCAGACAGUCCACAGAUGGCGAAAAUUCAAAUGCAAAACGUUUGGGGGCCCACGCUUGUUUUGUUUCCUAUACCACAUGAUCCUCCAUUCAAAAAGGAAAAAUAUGGGAAUUCUUGGAGGUGGUGUUUCAGGGAAUUUUGAAUGUGCUGUGUGUGUGCGUACGCACCUGUGCAUGCCUGUGUGUGUAAGGGACAGAGGGAGGAAGGAGGAGAUCCCGCUGGAAAGACAAAGAAGGAUGAAACUGAGGAGGACCUUCAGUGUCGAAGGGAAGAGUUUGCAUUUCAUUCUGAGUGAAGUGACUGCACAGGAGAGAAGUCUCGAAGGCUUGUGAGGAGAGGAGGGGCCCACAGUAGGGUGAGCCCAUGGUUUCACUUAUCAGGGAUAGACUUGGGUGGGGACAAGAGGCAGUGAGACCGCCUGGUGUAUAUCCACAGAGCUCCUGAGACACUGCUGCUUAUGGAACCACUCAUUCCAUCAGCCAAUACGAGGCUCUCCAUGUGUGAGUUUCCAACUUCCAUCUGGAUUGUUAAUUAUUGGAUGGCAAAAACUGCCUCGCACAUUUUUGAUUUCCCACAAAACCUAGAAUACUGCUGAGCACACAGCCAGAGCAAACUUAACACAUGUGUUAAUUGUUCUUCCCUUUCGAAUGAAUCCUGAGCUAUUGUCAUACAUCUAUGUGUUACAUAUGAAUCCCAAGAGAAAGGAUGCGAUAAAUCUUUUCAUAGGGAAAAUUUCCUCCCCCACCAUUGUAGACCUUUUAGCAAAUGUGUUCUAAGUUACUUUGGAAAUUUCCCAGUCUUCAAAAUAAGAAAUGACAGAGAAGUUUUACUGAAAAGUCUUGCUUUGUUUUUUCUUGCCUUUUUUUAAUUUAAUACUAUAUGAAGAUCUUCAAUAAAUG
rnacentral:lncRNA from 10 species